rnacentral:rRNA from 1 species
CGGACGGGUGAGUAAUGUCUGGGAAACUGCCUGAUGGAGGGGGAUAACUACUGGAAACGGUAGCUAAUACCGCAUAACGUCGCAAGACCAAAGAGGGGACCUUCGGGCCUCUUGCCAUCGGAUGUGCCCAGAUGGGAUUAGCUAGUAGGUGGGGUAACGGCUCGCCUAGGCGACGAUCCCUAGCUGGUCUGAGAGGAUGACCAGCCACACUGGAACUGAGACACGGUCCAG